rnacentral:rRNA from 1 species
GACGAACGCUGGCGGCGUGCUUAACACAUGCAAGUCGAACGAUGAACCCGGAGCUUGCUCCGGCGGAUUAGUGGCGAACGGGUGAGUAACACGUGAGUAACCUGCCCUUGACUCAGGGAUAACUGCGGGAAACUGUAGCUAAUACCGGAUACGACCCUCGGCCGCAUCGCCAGGGGGUGGAAAGAAUUUCGGUCAAGGAUGGACUCGCGGCCUAUUAGCUAGUAGGUGGGGUAACGGCUCACCAAGGCGACGACGGGUAGCCGGCCUGAGAGGGUGGCCGGCCACACUGGGACUGAGAAACGGCCCAGACUCCUACGGGAGGCAGCAGUGGGGAAUAUUGCACAAUGGGCGCAAGCCUGAUGCAGCAACGCCGCGUGAGGGAUGACGGCCUUCGGGUUGUAAACCUCUUUUAGUAGGGAAGAAGCGAAAGUGACGGUACCUGCAGAAAAAGCACCGGCUAACUACGUGCCAGCCGCCGCUGUAA